GAAUGUGCGGCGGCUACCAUGCAGUCGAGCGGAACGAUGGAAGCUUGCUUCCAGGCGUCGAGCGGCGGACGGGUGAGUAAUGCAUAGGAAUCUGCCCGGUAGUGGGGGAUAACCUGGGGAAACCCAGGCUAAUACCGCAUACGUCCUACGGGAGAAAGCAGGGGAUCUUCGGACCUUGCGCUAUCGGAUGAGCCUAUGUCGGAUUAGCUAGUUGGUGAGGUAAUGGCUCACCAAGGCCGCGAUCCGUAGCUGGUCUGAGAGGAUGAUCAGCCACAUCGGGACUGAGACACGGCCCGAACUCCUACGGGAGGCAGCAGUGGGGAAUAUUGGACAAUGGGCGAAAGCCUGAUCCAGCCAUGCCGCGUGUGUGAAGAAGGCCCUCGGGUUGUAAAGCACUUUCAGUGAGGAAGAACGCUUGCGGGUUAAUACCCCGCAGGAAGGACAUCACUCACAGAAGAAGCACCGGCUAACUCCGUGCCUGCAGCCGCGGUAAUACGGAGGGUGCGAGCGUUAA
rnacentral:rRNA from 1 species